ACGGCCGCAAGGUUAAAACUCAAAUGAAUUGACGGGGGCCCGCACAAGCGGUGGAGCAUGUGGUUUAAUUCGAUGCAACGCGAAGAACCUUACCUGGUCUUGACAUCCACGGAAGUUUUCAGAGAUGAGAAUGUGCCUUCGGGAACCGUGAGACAGGUGCUGCAUGGCUGUCGUCAGCUCGUGUUGUGAAAUGUUGGGUUAAGUCCCGCAACGAGCGCAACCCUUAUCCUUUGUUGCCAGCGGUCCGGCCGGGAACUCAAAGGAGACUGCCAGUGAUAAACUGGAGGAAGGUGGGGAUGACGUCAAGUCAUCAUGGCCCUUACGACCAGGGCUACACACGUGCUACAAUGGCGCAUACAAAGAGAAGCGACCUCGCGAGAGCAAGCGGACCUCAUAAAGUGCGUCGUAGUCCGGAUUGGAGUCUGCAACUCGACUCCAUGAAGUCGGAAUCGCUAGUAAUCGUGGAUCAGAAUGCCACGGUGAAUACGUUCCCGGGCCUUGUACACACCGCCCGUCACACCAUGGGAGUGGGUUGCAAAAGAAG
rnacentral:rRNA from 1 species